UACGUAGGAGGCAAGCGUUGUCCGGAAUUACUGGGCGUAAAGCGCGUGUAGGUGGUGGGACAAGUCUGCUGUGAAAGUGCCUGGCUUAACCGGCGAGGUCGGCGAACUGUCCGACUCGAGGACGGUAGAGGGGGUGGAAUUCCCGGUGUAGUGGUGAAAUGCGCAGAUAUCAGGGGACACCAAUGGCGAAGGCAGCACUCGUGGACGUGACGUGACGCUGAGACGCGAAAGCGUGGGAGCAACAGGG
rnacentral:rRNA from 1 species